GUAGGUGGCAAGCGUUGUCAGGAAUUAUUGGGCGUAAAGCGCGCGCAGGCGGUUCUUUAAGUCUGAUGUGAAAGCCCACGGCUCAACCGUGGAGGGUCAUUGGAAACUGGAGAACUUGAGUACAGAAGAGGAAAGCGGAAUUCCACGUGUAGCGGUGAAAUGCGUAGAGAUGUGGAGGAACACCAGUGGCGAAGGCGGCUUUCUGGUCUGUAACUGACGCUGAGGCGCGAAAGCGUGGGGAGCAAACAGGAUUAGAUACCCUGGUAGUCCACGCCGUAAACGAUGAGUGCUAAGUGUUAGGGGGUUUCCGCCCCCCUUAGUGCUGCAGCUAACGCAUUAAGCACUCCGCCUGGGAGUACGGCCGCAAGGCUG
rnacentral:rRNA from 1 species